rnacentral:rRNA from 1 species
UACGUAGGGUGCGAGCGUUGUCCGGAGUUAUUGGGCGUAAAGAGCUCGUAGGCGGUGUGUCACGUCGUUCGUGAAAACCUGCAGCUUAACUGUGGGCGUGCGGUCGAUACGGGCAUCACUGGAGUUCGGCAGGGGAGACUGGAAUUCCUGGUGUAGCGGUGAAAUGCGCAGAUAUCAGGAAGAACACCCGUGGCGAAGGCGGCUCUCUGGGACGGUACUGACGCUGAGACGCGAAAGCGUGGGGAGCGAACAGG